ACUGGCAGGGAUGAUACAUACUUGCCCUCACUUAGACCAGAGGUCAUUGAUGAGAGCUUUGUUCUGAGCCAGU
ensembl:snoRNA Snord85 small nucleolar RNA SNORD103/SNORD85